GAUGAACGCUAGCGGCAGGCUUAACACAUGCAAGUCGAGGGGUAUAGUAGCAAUACUAGAGACCGGCGCACGGGUGCGUAACGCGUAUGCAACCUACCUUUUACAGAGGGAUAGCCCAGAGAAAUUUGGAUUAAUACCUCAUAGUGUUAUUAGAUGGCAUCAUUUGAUAACUAAAGUUCCAACGGUAAUAGAUGGGCAUGCGUCCUAUUAGCUAGAUGGUAAGGUAACGGCUUACCAUGGCUACGAUAGGUAGGGUCCUGAGAGGGAGAUCCCCCGACACUGGUACUGGAGACACGGACCAGGACUCCUACGGAGGCAGCAGUGA
rnacentral:rRNA from 1 species